rnacentral:lncRNA from 1 species
UGAGACCAUGCGGGGGUCGUUGGGUAUAAAAUGGAUUGAUCUUGAGCUGUGGUUCAUCUCCGUGAGCACCAGAGCGUGGAGCUAAAAGAUGGCUUCAUCUACGGAGGACAAAAUUUACUUUCAAUAUCUCACUUUAUGGGGGAUAUGAACUGUGAGUUUAGGAGCCAAGUCCAGCAUGCUAAAAAUCUUCCAAGCUGUUUCAUUUUCUUAUCUCCAAGGAACCGGUGAGAAUAUGUGGUCCCAUACUUUUGCUUUCCUUUCCUACCUUCUCAUCCUGGCCUGGGCCUCCACCACCACAUUUGACAGAAAUGAAAAUAGCAGACUCUUGUCUCAUUCCUGACAUCAGGGGAAAACUUUUGACAUUUUAUCAGGAAGUGUGUUGGCUGUAGGCUUUAGGCUUUUUGAUGAUAUCUGUAUCAUAUUAAGAAAGUUACUUUCUCAGACUUCUUUUACUUUUACAGCCUGGGCAACAGAGCAAGACUCCAUCUCACACACACACACACACACACACAAAGUUAUUUUCUCGGACUUUUUAUCCUGAAGAGUGUUGAAUUUUAUCAAUGCUUUUCCUGAAUUUACUGAGAUUAUUAAAUGGUUUUUCUUUUUUAUUCUUUUAAUGUAAUGCAUUACAUUUGUUGAUUUUCAAAUAUUAAACUAACUCUUUAUUUUUGUAAUGAACCCAAUUUGGUUGUGAUGUUUUAUCUACUUUAUAUUUCUGGAUUUAAUUUUCUAAUAUUUUGAUGAGAGUUUUGUGCCUAUGUUCACAAGACAGAUUAACCUAUGAUACUCAUUUUUUAUAGUUUUCUUCUCAAGUUUUAGGGUGAAUUAAUAAUGGCCUCAUAAAAUGAACUGGGGGGUGUAUUAGUCUGUUUUCACACUGCUAUAAUGAAAUACCUGAGACUGGGUAAUUUAUAAAGGAAAGAGGUUUGAUUGACUCACAGUUCCACAUGGCUGGGGAGGCCUCUGGAAACUUAUGAUCAUGGCAGAAGGGGAAGAGGCACAUCUUGCGUGGCGGCAGGCGAGAGAGAGCAUGCGAAGGGAGCUAAGGGGGAAGAGUCUCUUACAAAACUAUCAACUCUCAUGAGAACACCCUCACUAGCAUGAGAACAGCAUGGGGGGAAGCUGCCCCCAUAAUCCAAUCACCUCCCACCAGGUUCCUCCCUCAACACCUGGGGAUUACAAUUUAAGAUGAGAUUUGGGUGAGGAUACAAAGCCAAACCAUAACAAGGGAUAUUUCUUUUUUUCCUGUUUUCUGGAAGAAUUUUAUAAGAUUUGUGUUAGUUCAUCUUUAAAUAUUUGAAAAUAUUUAUCUUACGUGUUCUGGGCCUAGAGUUUUUCUGUGGAAAGGUUUAAAAUUAAUGAUUCAAUUAAUUUAUUUAUUAUGCAUAGGACUACUUACAUACUCUAUUUCUUCUUGUGUCUCUUGUUAUAUUUGUUUUUCUAAGAAUGUGUCCAUUUCAUUUGACUUAUUGAUUUGUUUGGCAGAAAGCCAUUUGUCAUACUUCAUAAUAUUUGUAAUGUCUGUGGGGUCUUUAGUAGUAAUCCCUUCUUAAUCUCUACUAUUGCCAGCAUGUGCCAUAUUAUUUUGUGUGUGUGUGUGUGUGUGUUUUUGAGAUGGAGUUUUGCUCUCGUCACCCAGGCCAGAGUGUAGUGGCAUGAUCUCAGCUCACUGCAAUCUCUGUUUCCCGGGUUCAAGUGAUUCUCCUGCCUCAGCCUCCCAAGUAGCUGGGAUUACAGGCACCAGCCACCACACCUGGCUAAUUUUUGUAUUUUUAGUAGAGAUGAGGUUUCAACAUGUUGUCCAGGCUGGUCUUGAACUCCUGACCUCAGGUGAUCCACCCACCUCAGCCUCCCAAGUGCUGGGAUUACGGGCAUGAGCCACUGUGCCCAGACUAUUUUGUGCUAUUUUUUUAUUAGUCUUGGGCAGUCAAUAUUAUUAAUCUGUACAAAAACCCACCUUUCUAUUGACAUUUGUUUUAUUAAUUAUGUUCUCCUUUUAUCCCUGUUAGUUCCCUCUUUCUAUUUUCUUUGGGUUUAAUUCGCUCCUCUUUUUCUAAUGCUCCCACAAGGCUGUACUUACAUUGUUGCAAGUUUUUUCUUUCUAAGCACAAAAUUUCACUCUAAGCACAGUUUUAACUGGAUCCUACAAGUUUGAUAGGUUAUAUUUGUAUUAUCAGUCAGUGUAAAGAUUUUCUAAUUUCCAUUUAUGGUUCAUCUUCGACCCAUGGGUUAUGCAGAGGUAUAUUGUUUAAUUCCUAAACACUUGGAAGACUUUUUAGUUGCUUUUAUCAGCAUCCAUUUCCAGCUUAAUUCUACUGUAGUCUGAGAAUGUAUUCUGAAUUACUGCAGUCCUUUGAAAUGUAUUGGAACCAGCUCCUUGGCCCAGCACAGUGUCAGUUUUGGUCACCAUGUGGGCUUAAACAGGAGGGCAUGUUAGCAGAGGGACCAGACACACGAGGGUUGUGAGGAGGGAGUGUGCCAGGCCAUGUGCCUGGAGCGUGAGGAGCAGGGAAAGGGCGUGAACGCUGAGGUCAGAACAUGUGGGGCCUUGCAGGUCGGUGCUUCGACUUCUACUCUAAGAGGGAUUGACAUCUGCUGUGGAUGCCAAAUGGAAGACGACAUGAUGUGACUUCAGGUUUACCAAGGCCACCUUGGCUUCUGUGUUGUGGGUGGAGCUUGGGGGCCACGUGAGAGAAGGUGGUGGUGAUUCAGGCUGUGGAGAGAGUAGUGGAGACGACAGGCAUGUUCCAAUUCUGGAAACCUUUCAGGGGUGGAGCCAGGAGCAUUUGCUAAGAAAUUAGAAUUGGAGUAAUAAAGAAAUAGAGGAGCCAAAUGAUCUAGAAAUUAUCUAAAUUUGGUUUAAAUAAACACCGAAGCAAUUACCUUUCUUCUUUAAAAAAUUUUAACAUUGUCACCCAAAAUGUAAUUCCUACAACUUCUUCUUUUGGGGAGAAUAGUUUGAAGCAUGUUUUAAACAUUGAGAGAUAAAAUAUAUGAGAUAAAAGUGCCUUAAUCAAAAAUGUGCAGCUUAACAGAAAAUCAUACGGUGGACUCCUGUGUGGCCACCACCGGGUCCUGACUCACAGUUUUGACGGCAUCCAGGUGCACCCUCACCUUUUCUUAAUGCCAGAGGGACCCACAUCCUAACUUUUGUAUUAAAAUUGUAAUGAUUAGAAAAGAAGGAAGAAACAAAAUAACCUUUUCAGUAUGAUUUCAUUUAUAUAAAGUGAUUUUUUUUGAAUUUAUUGAGAUGUUUGGUGUGAAUGACUACAGAGUUAAUUUCUUUUUUAGAGAUGAGGUCUUGCUCUGUCAUCCAGGCUGGAGUGCAGUGGCACAAUCAUAGCUCACCGUAGCCUCAAACUCCAGAGCUUAAGCAAUCCUCCUGCCUCGGCCUCCCAGGGUGGUAGGAUUACAGGUGUGAGCCACUAUGCCUGGCCAAUGGUUAAUUUUUUAAAAGCACAUGGGUGUUGGAAAAGAAGGUGUAUCCACUGCUUGCCGAGCACAAAGUAUAUUAUACAGUUGAACUAAAUAUAUGACAUCACGAAGUUUUACACAAUUGUAUGCAUAUUUUAAAUUUUAUUGAGGAUAAAAUUAAAAAUAUAAUAAAAUCAUCUCUAUCUUUGUGUGACUGAACGGGUUUAACUGGACAAACUCAGGGGCAAGGAGUCUACUGUGCUUUCCUGAAUCAAACAUAGUUUCCGGGUGUGGAAACUUGCCUCUCAGCCACCCCUAGGCGCCGUCUCCAGCCUGUCUGCUCACUUCAAGCCCUGAAGGUCCCUUGAUGCC